rnacentral:rRNA from 1 species
AUGGAAGGUCUCAAACCAGCAGUCAGAGUGGCUGUGGGCAUUCAGCAACCUCCUGAUUUAGAGAUGGCCUAUCAAUUGGCGCUGCUACAUGAAGAGCUGGGGACUAUUAGUCCAUCCACCAUGAUCAACUCCCAGAAUGCCCGUCGUGCAAGUGCUCUUCCACUCCCUCCUCCACCCACCAGUUCUGCUGUGCAAUCUUCUGUACAGAAAGGUCAUGAAGAAAGGAGACCUAUCGACAGUUACAGACGUACUGUUUCAGAGGAUAAAUGGGGAGCUCUGAGAACAUUUCGUAAGGCAAAGGGUCUUUGCUUCAUUUGUGGUGAGCGCUGGGGCAAGGAUCACAUAUGCAAGAAAGAAGUUCAGCUCCACAUGGUGCAAGAAAUGGUUGAGUUCUUACAAAAUUCAGACGUCAAUGACUCUGUUGCGAGUGAAAUUCAGUCUGAAGUACACAUGAUGUCAGUUUCUGCUGCUGCCUUGGGGAAAACAACUUCUAAACCAGCUAAAACCAUGCAAUUAAGAGUUCAGUUGCAAGGGCUUAAUCUGAUUUUUCUUGUGGAUUCUGGUAGUUCACAUUCAUUCUUGGAUGUUUUCUUGUCUGACAAGAUACAUGGGGUGUCACCGAUGGUCAAAGCAUUAGUUAAAAUUGCAAAUGGAGAUAUGGUGCCUUGUGCAUCUCAACUGCUUGAUGGUGUUUGGUCUUGUGAUGGACAUAAGUUUCUCACUUCUUUCAAAUUUUUUCCAUUGGGCAGUUAUGAUGGCAUUGUGGGCAUGGAUUGGCUAUCUGCACACAGUCCAAUGUGGGUGGAUUGGGAUCAUCACUGGUUAUCUUUUGUUCAUAAUGGUUCUGAAAUUACACUCCUGGGCACUGUUGCGUUACUACCUGAGAUCACAAUGAUAGAAGUUUGUUCUUUACUGACAACUCCAGAUUUACCUAUUCCUCCAGAAGUACAGUUGAUACUAGAUGAAUAUAAACAUGUGUUUGAGCCCCCUACUGGCCUCCCCCCCAGAUGA